GAUGAACGCUGGCGGCGUGCCUAAUACAUGCAAGUCGAGCGAACGGACGAGAAGCUUGCUUCUCUGAUGUUAGCGGCGGACGGGUGAGUAACACGUGGAUAACCUACCUAUAAUACUGGGAUAACUUCGGGAAACCGGAUCUAAUACCGUAUGAUAUUUUGAACCGCAUUGUUCAAUAGUGAAAUACGUUCUUUCUGUCACUUAUAGAUGGAUCCGCGCUGCAUUAGCUAGUUGGUAAGGUAACGGCUUACCAAGGCAACGAUGCAUAGCCGACGUGAGAGGGGGAUCGGCCACACUGGAACUGAGACACGGACCAGACGACUACGGGAGGCAGCAGUAGGGAAUCGUCGGCAAUGGGGGAAAGCAUGACGGAGCAAGGCCGCGGGAGAGAUGAAGGUCUUCGGAUCGUAAAAAUCUGUUAUUAGGGAAGAAAAUAUGUGUAAGGAAAUGUGCACAGCUUGACGGUAACGAAUCAGAAAGCAACGGCUAACUACGUG
rnacentral:rRNA from 1 species